GAUGGAGCUGACGAAGCAGAUCUCCGGUCUCGUCAUUGUCCUGCUGUGCGUUCUGUUGCCGAUGACGUCAGCGCUGGAAUCAAGGUCAAAGCGGGAAGUUGAACUAUCAGAUCCCACGCACACCAUCCGGGCUCUUGAAGAACUACUGAGCGAACUCAAGAGCCAAACGAUGGAGAAGAGCAAGCGAGACUUUGAUAUGGGAUUCCAGCGAGGCUACGCAGGCAACCAGCUGGCUAAGCACCUACUCGGUCUCAACGCAGCCAGCUACGCGUCCGGCCCCGGAAAGCGCUGAACACUCACCCUCACUACUCACCCUCAACCCCACCCAAAGUCGCAGAUUUCUACCGCAUUAACAAGAGACUAGAUGUCGGACGUUUCCAGUGCAUCGCAUCCCUGCUGAUCCCUGCCUCCCGCCAGAGUGCGCCACGCUCGUUUAGCGCGAACAAUCAUUUGUUCUAUUAGAUAGGCGUGUCACGUGACCGUCGCUCGUUGCAGUCUGUUAAAAAGACGAAAAGCGCGAAGAGCAAAAAAAAAUAUGUGUGAAAAAUAAUAAAUCGAACGGAUGUCAAGGUUAUAAUAGUUGAAUAUAGUUGUUCUAUAAUUCACCGCUACCGUCGUCGGUCGCUACCAGGCACGGUGGCGCCCUCUAUAAUAAACAGCCGACGACAUACGACAGCCGACGACAUUGGAGAAACGUGUAACGUAGGGGGCGCGACGUGCGACCGUGAUACCGACGUACUGUAGCCGACGACAUCUGAUGAUGACCUUGUGUUUGUCAUUCUUUGCCGACGUCGUUUCCCUCACCUGUAUACGUGCAAUUUAUGCUGAUUUUAAGCUCACGUGACCUUACGUCUCUGUAUAGAAGCUUACAGCCAGUUAAACAUCACUUACUGGUGACAUUCAUAGACGCGACAUGUCACCAGUAAACACGCACCGCGCUAUUAUAGACACAGCUAGUCAUCAUCAUUAUUAUUAUUAUUAUUAUUAUUAUUAUUAUUCCGGUUAGCUCCUAGAUUGUAAUCGAGUUCAAACGAAUAAGUGAUUAUCGUGCAUGACGUCAUUAUCGUGCAUGACGUCAUUAUCGUGCAUGACGAAACGAGAAAAUUUGUCGGACAGGAUCACGUGUCAGUCACGUGUGUGUGUAGAAUGUACAAAUGCUCUUCAGUUGUCCGUCUGCCAUCAUUUCCCGUACAGCAAUUAUCAAUCGUGAAAUGUGCAAACCAUAAAAACUUCUUCUUUCACAAACUGCA